rnacentral:rRNA from 1 species
UGGGGAAUUUUGGACAAUGGGCGAAAGCCUGAUCCAGCAAUGCCGCGUGUGUGAAGAAGGCCUUCGGGUUGUAAAGCACUUUUGUCCGGAAAGAAAUCCUUGGCUCUAAUACAGUCGGGGGAUGACGGUACCGGAAGAAUAAGCACCGGCUAACUACGUGCCAGCAGCCGCGGUAAUACGUAGGGUGCAAGCGUUAAUCGGAAUUACUGGGCGUAAAGCGUGCGCAGGCGGUUUGCUAAGACCGAUGCGAAAUCCCCGGGCUCAACCUGGGAACUGCAUUGGUGACUGGCAGGCUAGAGUAUGGCAGAGGGGGGUAGAAUUCCACGUGUAGCAGUGAAAUGCGUAGAGAUGUGGAGGAAUACCGAUGGCGAAGGCAGCCCCCUGGGCCAAUACUGACGCUCACGCACGAAAGCGUGGGGAGCAAACAGGAUUAGAUACCCUGGUAGUCCACGCCCUAAACGAUGUCAACUAGUUGUUGGGGAUUCAUUUCCUUAGUAACGUAGCUAACGCGUGAAGUUGACCGCCUGGGGAGUAACGGUCGCAAGAUUAAAAACUCAAAGGAAUUGACGGGGGUCAUAGCUGUUUUCCUG